GCCCGGUUAGCUCAAUCGGUAGAGCGUGAGACUCUUAGAAAUACCAUCUGAUGGUAUCGAGUACGCGAUCUCAAGGUUGCGGGUUCGACCCCCGCAUCGGGCU
rnacentral:tRNA from 2 species